rnacentral:lncRNA from 1 species
CUUGGAGACCCCUUGACUAACCAGAUCAGAGGCACAGGCCAAGGUGGGGUCUCCUUGCCCUGAGUGCCUGCUCCUACUUCCCCUAACAAUCCCUCCUCGAGUUACCUCCCAUAUUUACUUUCAUCUUGUGUGGAUUCAACCAUCAGAUGCUUGAUGGUGCUGUGAAGAGGAGACUCCAUGUUUGUGAACCAAGGCGUUGGCAGAGAUGAAUCAAAGGAUGCAAGGCCAAGGACAGCCUCUCAGAGGAAGCGACAUUUGAGCUGAGACCUGGAUGAGAAGGAGCCAGCUAUGUGUACUUCCCAGGGAAGAGUUCCAGGCAGCAGGUGCAAAGGUG